rnacentral:rRNA from 1 species
UUUUGGACAAUGGGCGCAAGCCUGAUCCAGCAAUGCCGCGUGAGUGAAGAAGGCCUUCGGGUUGUAAAGCUCUUUUGUCAGGGAAGAAACGGUGAGCUCUAAUACAGUCUGCUAAUGACGGUACCUGAAGAAUAAGCACCGGCUAACUACGUGCCAGCAGCCGCGGUAAUACGUAGGGUGCAAGCGUUAAUCGGAAUUACUGGGCGUAAAGCGUGCGCAGGCGGUUAUGUAAGUCAGAUGUGAAAUCCCCGGGCUCAACCUGGGAAUGGCAUUUGAGACUGCAUGGCUAGAGUGUGUCAGAGGGGGGUAGAAUUCCACGUGUAGCAGUGAAAUGCGUAGAGAUGUGGAGGAAUACCGAUGGCGAAGGCAGCCCCCUGGGAUAACACUACGCUCAUCACAGA